AGACUAUACCUGUGCCCUCCAGACAGACAUCCUACUGCAGGGACGCCUCUACCUGUCAGAGAACUGGCUCUGUUUCUAUAGCAACAUGUUUCGGGGGACAAAGUUGUUCUUCACUUCCUUCUCAGCCAGAGAGAAGAGUUACCAGGGAGUGUUCCGGAUGUGGCAGAACACUCUGAUGGACAAGGUGAGGCACAGUUCAGCGACUUCAUAACCUCACCUCACUCACUGGGGCUGCAUCCCAAAUG
rnacentral:lncRNA from 1 species